rnacentral:rRNA from 1 species
GACAGGGGGCCCGAGCGUUACUCGGAAUCACUGGGCUUAAAGGGUGCGUAGGCGGCCUCGCAAGCGUUUUGUGAAAUCCCCGGGCUCAACCCGGGAACUGCAGAGCGAACUGCGAGACUUGAGGAAACUAGAGGCCGGCGGAACGAUAGGUGGAGCGGUGGAAUGCGUAGAGAUCUAUCGGAACGCCAAAGGUGAAGACAGCCGGCUGGGGUUUUCCUGACGCUGAGGCACGAAAGCGUGGGUAGCAAACAGG